GUCGAGCGGGUUUAUCCUUCGGGGUAAGCUAGCGGCGGACGGGUGAGUAACACGUAGGUAACCUGCCUAUAAGAUCGGGAUAACUAUCGGAAACGAUAGCUAAGACCGGAUAAUUGGUUUUCUCGCAUGAGAGAAUUAUGAAACACGGAGCAAUCUGUGGCUUAUAGAUGGGCCUGCGGCGCAUUAGCUAGUUGGUAGGGUAACGGCCUACCAAGGCGACGAUGCGUAGCCGACCUGAGAGGGUGAACGGCCACACUGGGACUGAGACACGGCCCAGACUCCUACGGGAGGCAGCAGUAGGGAAUCUUCCGCAAUGGACGCAAGUCUGACGGAGCAACGCCGCGUGAGUGAUGAAGGUUUUCGGAUCGUAAAGCUCUGUUGCCCUAGACGAACAGCAAGGAGAGUAACUGCUCUUUGUGUGACGGUAUAGGAGAAGAAAGCCCCGGCUAACUACGUGCCAGCAGCCGCGGUAAUACGUAGGGGGCAAGCGUUGUCCGGAAUUAUUGGGCGUAAAGCGCGCGCAGGCGGUCAAUUAAGUUGGGUGUUUAAGCCCGGGGCUCAACCCCGGUUCGCAUCCAAAACUGGUUGACUUGAGUGUAGGAGAGGAAAGUGGAAUUCCACGUGUAGCGGUGAAAUGCGUAGAGAUGUGGAGGAACACCAGUGGCGAAGGCGACUUUCUGGCCUAUAACUGACGCUGAGGCGCGAAAGCGUGGGGAGCAAACAGGAUUAGAUACCCUGGUAGUCCACGCCGUAAACGAUGCAUACUAGGUGUUGGGGAUUCGAUUCCUCGGUGCCGAAGUUAACACAGUAAGUAUGCCGCCUGGGGAGUACGCUCG
rnacentral:rRNA from 1 species